UGAGCUAGGCAGUGGCAGCGCAAUAAUGAGACUUUCCUUCUCAUUCAUGGAAGAAAUGAAGUUGGUGGGCAGAACGUGCGACCCGGAAGUAGACGUAGGUGGCCUCCUGUAGCGCUUGAUCUGUUACCGAGCGGAAAGCUGACCAAUAAGCCCCCGCAUACUACCUGAAGCCAUCAAGUCGGCAGGAACGAGACUCUCGCUAUGAAUGAAAAAAAGAAGGCAACUGCAGUGCGUUCGCCGCAUUCCUGUAGUUGACGUCUAUGGAGCGCGGCAGGUGGGAAGCCACUGAUCUGAACCACUAAUAAAUCUCCUAUGACCCUUCGGCGAAAACAUACGUAACUGCAAGCUCAAUUUCCUAGGCGUUGUAGUACACACAAAUGAUGGUGCGGACGUACAAGAGAAUAUCAUCUAGAGUUUCCUGGAAGGAAAACGACAUGGCAAAACCCCGAAUGCUUAUCAGGAGUGUUGGAGCAACAAAGCGCUGGGCUCUCUCUGGAUUCUAUGCGUGGAGUGCAAAGACUGGGCGCAGGAAGACUGCGUGGCGACCCAGGAAGUGAACUUGAAGUGUUUCUACUGCAAGAACUGGAAGGAUAAAAUUUUUUCCCGCUGUCUCGUUUUGCCCCACAGGUUGGGGCAAAACGAGACAUGUGGUGCAUUUUUUGUUUCUUUUUAAAAUAAUAUUUUGAACAGUCGCAGCAUGGCCAUAUUUAUGUAGCACAUACUUUGUACCCACAAGAAAGUUCCUGUGUUGAAAUUUGAUGGUAAUGAGUGAAUUAAAAAAAUAUUCAUUAUUUGCAAA